AAAACAAUUUAGAGACAUACAUCAAUAUCCUUUGACCCUGCAUCUUUCAACCUAGUUGUAUUAGGCUAAAAUUUGACCUAAUUUUGAUUUUGAAAUAAAUCCUAAGAAGUUACCCAAAAAUAUGAGGAAAAUUUUAUGUAUAAUAAUGCUCAUAAUGGUAAAACAACAUUGACAACUAUUUCGUGGCCACAAGCAUUAGAGAACGGGAAAUGAAUGAACACAGAACAGAAUAUUGUGUGGCCACUCUCUAUGAUGUUUACAAGGCAUCUUCCGUAAUAGGAGAAAAUUCCAUCACCAAAGUCUAACUAUCUGCUGCAGGGACAUUGUAAUUUGCUUCCUUCCCUUUCUAUUUCUCCCCGUCUGUUUUCCACUUUUUCUGACAUGAUCCUGGGUGACUUCUAGAACAAGAACAUGCAUAGUUUUGAGGAGAAAGAAACCCAGCACCGAGUGUGUGUUUGUGUAGGUGAGGUCAAGCAGGUAUGGCGUUGGGAAGACCAUCCCACCCUGAGACACGCAUAUCCCAGUGAUAGCGACAGAGCCCAUGAGCCAGCUGUCAUGAAUGUCGCUUCUCAGAGAGUUUACUGGAACUAAAUAUUUGAGAUCAUUUCUUCAAAUUACAGCAAUGAAGGCAUCGUUCUGAGACCUGCACCGGAAUACCACGCCGAGUCCUUGCUCGUGCCCACGAGUGCUUUGUGUUUCGCUGUGAUGUGUGUGCAGCCGUACAUGGGCCUGCUGAGGCUGAUACCGCAGUCAUUCUUUCCAAGAAAGCUUUCAUCUGCUGAAGGGUGACUACAAAGCUGAUAGCGAAGGUUGGUCUCAAAUUCCUGGGCUCAAGCCAUCCUCCACCUUGGCCUCCCAGAGUGCUGGGCUUACAGGGAUGAGCCACCGUACCUGCCUGCCCAGUGACUGUUAUGUCAAUCUCACCCCUGCUUCCCUGAGAGGUGUGGAAGGUGAAAGGAAGGAGCAGGAAGGAAAAGAUAAGGCAGGAAGAGAAACAGCCACGUGAAAGACCUGGAGUGCAGAAGCGUUCAUCCGAAAGGCUGCCAUGACCGUAAUGAGUAAAUUGUUUUAUUCCCAAAUUGUAAAACAGUAGCCAGUUCUUGUGUUUACAGGAGAACAAACAACUCUUUCUCUGUUUCCAUUCAUUUUCUAUUUUUAAAAUAAAAACUUUAUAUAAGCAUAGGACACUUAAAAAAACAAGAUAUAUUUUAGCUUAUGUUUCUUUAUGGAUAUGUUUAAAAGCAUAGCAUGUUUUAAUCAGUGAAAUAGGUAAAAAUAACCGGAGGGGAAGUUUCAUACUUGGCAGAGAUGCUGUUGAAAUAUUAGAUGU